UAAUCUACUUCCCUCACCUUAUUGUUGUUAUUCUCAGAUGAAGCAAGUUUUUAUUAUGUCUUAAAUUGAUAAUUUGGUUAUUAAUAAAUCAGCUGUUAAAGCUUGAUAAAUUCAAUGUGUUUGUCAAUCAUCUUAGUUUAUCAGUCUAUUGGCAUGUUCGCUGAAACUUCAGAGUCAUAAUUCAUAAAACAACUAAGUUAAAAUCAAAAGUUUGACACAUAAAUCACUGACUUUUGGGAAACUUCUGACUUCUGAGAACAGAUAGGCAGCUGUGCCCAGCUUUUCCCUGCCAGCCGACCUCGCCUUGUCGUUGGUUGUUCCUAUGGUCAGCAUUGGGACUUGGAACAAAAACUGGAUGAUUUACCUACUUCUUGGAAGUGCUGCCCUUAUCCAUUCGAAUCCCUAAGCCCACUUUCUCUA
rnacentral:lncRNA from 1 species